UGCACCUACGGGGCGCAGCAGUGGGGGAUAUUGCACAAUGGGGGGAACCCUGAUGCAGCGACGCCGCGUGGGUGAAGAAGUAUUUCGGUAUGUAAAGCCCUAUCGGCAGGGAAGAAUUUAGACGGUACCUGACUAAGAAGCCCCGGCUAACUACGUGCCAGCAGCCGCGGUAAUACGUAGGGGGCGAGCGUUAUCCGGAUUCACUGGGUGUAAAGGGAGCGUAGACGGCCAUGCAAGCCAGGGGUGAAAGCCCGGGGCCCAACCCCGGGACUGCCCUUGGAACUGCAUGGCUGGAGGGCGGGAGG
rnacentral:rRNA from 1 species